GGACCCUUGGUGUACGUGGUUUGAGUCAUGUUAAACUGAAAAUUUAAAGGUAUUGGUUCGAUUCCAAUAGGGUCCA
rnacentral:tRNA from 1 species